rnacentral:lncRNA from 1 species
CUUUUAAUGAGCAUAUCCUUCCUUUUACUGAUUACUUUAAACAGUGUUUGUUUCAGUUCUUGUGCGUGCUGUUUAAAAGAAAGGUCUUAUAGGUUGACGAUCUUCUGCACCACUUUCCGUUCGUAGGCGUUUUUAUCAUUUCUUGGCCGCAGUUGAACUUACUGCCCGUACCACAGUAAAGGAAGGAAAGAACCUAAGAGGAACAUCAGAGCACUUUUGAGUUGUCUCUACACCACAGGAGCAACAUUGAGACAAGUCUGCAGUCUAACAGCCCAGCAGGAGAAUGAAAAAGUGGGAUACGUGAAGAAGGGUGAGCUGAGCCCCCCCAUGAACAUACUCCUCCAGUUGCCCCCAAAAGUGUCCCGCCUUCGUCCCACCCUGGAGCAAGAGGACGUCCACAGACUGUUUCGGAAGCAGAACAUGAGGACGGCGGCUGGUCCUGAUGGUGUCUGACCUGGGACUGAGACACGGUGCGGAUCAACCGACUCCUGUAAUUCACCAGGAUAUCGAACACCUCCCUGCGAUCAAACCGGGCCACCUGUCGGAUUCAGUUGCUUAAUACCUAUAUUUAAUGCUGUUUUUUUGAGACACAAUAAUACUUUACUAUACAGCAUUUAUUCUGUGUGAAAGAUGGAAUAAUUUCAGACACAUGCUGCUCAUAGCAAUAUGUGUACACAUUGUGCCGCAUACGUGGAACAUCAGAGCACAUGACUGUUACAGGGUUAAAACCUGAACCAAAAACUCAGGCUAUGGGAGGAGAUCAUGGAAUGAGAUGAUUUCCUCUGUGUGACUGAGGGAAAAUUAAAGCAUUCAUGCAGUUUGCAUUUCAGAUACUACAAAGUGUAAAUAUGAUACUGCUCUUCCAUGUAUUGAACAGAAUAAUAUGAAAGAAGAAAAUACGUCUUUUGGAAAGGUUUUUGACGUUUUAAAAGUCACAUCCUCAGGGAUAAUACACCAGAAGACCACGGGGGAAGAUCAUCAGAGCUGAUCCCACAUACCUAAGGAAAAUCUGCACCUAAUUGAAACACUCUUAAAGAGAAGAAGAAUUAGUUGCUGUGCCCGUGGAAUCUCAUUGAGGAGCGACGACCCUUCGGACCCCCGGCUGCCUCCCGGGUAGUGCUCAGUUCCUGCUCCUCUCAGCGCAGUUACUGAGACCAUCUCUGCGUUUGGGUUCAAACGCAAUUCCUAAAAAACAGGACAUUAAACACCUGGCAAGUCGAGAAUUCUUUUAUUUACUAGCCUUUUAAUAUUAAAAGCAGUAACUUAAUCCUCUAAAAAGGGCAUUUUUUUUAAAAAUUAUAGCUACUU